CAAUUGGCGGCACUUUUACCUGUGUGCAUAUCAAUCGACUCUGAAAUAAGCCUGCUUGAUUCUUCUCUUUUGGAUCAUCUCGAUCAAAUCGGUAGGUCUGCUUCAUUCUUCUUCUCCCUCUUAACAGUUAAUUGUACAAGAAAAACAAAAACAGUAACCCUCUUUUUAACUUAUCAAACUUUUUCAGACAUAUCGGAUUUGGACAACUAUGUUUUUUCGAGUUCACCUAGUUCUUCGCCCAGUUCUUCACCACCACCGGUUUUAGAGCGAGCUACAGGCAAGAACAUCCGUCUCUCGACCCGCGAGAGGCAGGCCUUGCUUUCUGCAAGGGCUUGCCCAGCUUCAGCUCCCCAGCGUCCCUCGGGGAAAAACCUGAAUCUAACCGCCUGGGAGAGGGAACAACUGUUCGCGGCACACGCUCCCAGUCCCGGCUUCGGAGCUUCUCCUCCUGCAUCGGGGCCAAGACAUCCACAGUCCCUGCCUCGGAGAUCCAAUCUAGGUCAGUCACUCUCGCUUUUUCUUUUUCUCUCAUUUUAUAAAAAACUAUCGCCUUUUCUAUUAAACAUCACUAACUAAUUUGCAUCUUACCCCUCAAUUUCUUAGGGCAUCUCAGAAGGAGGCGUAGGAGGACCAUUAGGCCACUCAGGACAAGGCAAACACGCAGACAGCGAAACCAGCUCGCCUCCAUCGCUCUUCGAGCUGUAUCUCUGUUCGCUGAAUUAGUGCAACUCAUCUUAUAAUAAGGUUUUAUUUUAUUCUAUUGUUUUUAUUUUUUAUUUUUCUAAUUCUUUAAAAAAAAAAUAUAUAUACGUAUAUAUACAUAUAUCUAUAUAUAUAUAUAUAUAUAUAUAUAUACACGUGUAUAUAUAUAUAUAUAUAUAUAUAUAUUUCGCAGCUCUAAAUAGCGCUUUAGAAGCCUUAGCACAAAUACAGCACGAGGUGCAAAUACCUCCAGAAUUACUGAGUCAAAUAAACAGGUUAAAUCAAAAUAUUUUUAAUGAUAGCCAGCAUUCGCUCAGCUCUACACCACGCAGUGAGUCUGUUAACCACAGUCCACCCCCACCGUUGUUAAGCGGUUUCAACAAUAGUCCACAUUUGCUCAGUUCUCCCCCAAUAAACAAUGCUCACGAUCAGCCCUUUCAACAAGGGGGUAAUCCAGACCAGAGCUGCGCCAGCAAUUCAUCACAACCAUCUAUAGUUGUCAGAAAUAAAUUUAAUAACGUUCAAAUUAGAGAAAUUUUGAAUUUCCCUCCUCCAAACGAUAUACCUGAUUAUG
rnacentral:lncRNA from 1 species